GGAGGUAGUGACGUGAAAUAACGAUGCGGGACUCUUCCGAGGCCUCGCAAUCGGAAUGAGUUAACUUUAAAUCCUUUCGACGAGGAUCGAUUGGAGGGCAAGUCUGGUGCCAGCAGCCGCGGUAAUUCCAGCUCCAAUAGCGUAUAUUAAAGUUGCUGCGGUUAAAAAGCUCGUAGUUGGAUCUCACGAUUCGAAAGACGGAGAGCGCCGUUGACGCAGUCGUGGUAGUAGUAGUACUACUACACCACGAAUCCACCUUCUCAUUCGUUUCGUUACGGUAGAAGGAGUAAUAAUAGUACGGGGAUGUCGAAUGCGCGAACAGGAUUAUGAAGACGGUACGAGUUGAUUUUCUGACGGUGGUGGCGGAGGCGGUCGUCGUUGCUGCUGCUGCUGCUGCUGUUGUUGCGGUGGUACGCUAGUGGCGAACGACCGUCGCCGCUACCGCUUCUACUACUUCGUUAAUCGUUGAUGUCCUCUUCGUUGCAUUGGCUAAUACCACUAUUCCUCUUCCUUCUUUCCAACGGACGAAAAAGAGAAGGCGAACGCCGAAGUGUCCCGGCGUAACUAAACAACCGUCCUUUUCGAUGAAAAAUAUUGUUCGGCCGGCCAGCGGCGUAGUAGUAGCCUCACCGGAAAGGGUGGUAGAAGGUGGUAUCAUUAUGGCAAUAAUAAUACAUCUUCCACCUUCGAUGGCGGUGGUGACUCUCGCGCGCUCGCGUUCGGUCGGCAACUUCACUUUGACAAAAUUAGAGUGCUCAGAGCGGGCAAGAUCUGAAGCCCGAAUGGAGGUGCAUAGAAUGAUCUAAGAUGACCUCGCGAUCUAAACGUUUGUCGGUUUAUGGGGUCGCGAGGUAAUGAUUAAA
rnacentral:rRNA from 1 species